rnacentral:rRNA from 1 species
GAUGAACGCUGGCGGCGUGCCUAAUACAUGCCAGUCGAGCGAACGGACGAGAAGCUUGCUUCUCUGAUGUUAGCGGCGGACGGGUGAGUAACACGUGGAUAACCUACCUAUAAGACUGGGAUAACUUCGGGAAACCGGAGCUAAUACCGGAUAAUAUUUUGAACCGCAUGGUUCAAAAGUGAAAGACGGUCUUGCUGUCACUUAUAGAUGGAUCCGCGCUGCAUUAGCUAGUUGGUAAGGUAGCGGCUUACCAAGGCAACGAUGCAUAGCCGACCUGAGAGGGUGAUCGGCCACACUGGAACUGAGACACGGUCCAGACUCCUACGGGAGGCAGCAGUAGGGAAUCUUCCGCAAUGGGCGAAAGCCUGACGGAGCAACGCCGCGUGAGUGAUGAAGGUCUUCGGAUCGUAAAACUCUGUUAUUAGGGAAGAACAUAUGUGUAAGUAACUGUGCACAUCUUGACGGUACCUAAUCAGAAAGCCACGGCUAACUACGUG